ACAAAGCCUCCUUAAGAGUAUCGGAGGCGGGGACCUCUCUGGACAACAACACAAAUCAGCUGGUAAAGACUAUUCAAAUUUCACAUUAGCAGAAAUAAGAAAAAUCAACGCCAAAGCAUAAAGUGACCUUCAGCAGAGUAGGAGCCAGCCACUCACUAUACCCUGAGGGCAGACCAGAAGCCCACCAAGACCCACCAACUCCUGACAUCUCGGCCAAAUCAGUGCCGGACACCAUCUCUCCACUUGAAGAACCAGCCAGAAAUUGGAAAAUAUCUAUCAACUUUCCUGAGAGAAACGAUAAAAAACCAAAUGGUGGCUGGUAGCAGGCAAGGACACUUGAGCAUCGGCAAAUGUACUCGGAUGUUUCAUAGCUGCUGAUCGUUUAAGACAAUUAUGGAGAAGAAACUACAAAUGUAUGUUGUUACAAUUUCAGGUUGUGGGACAGAUGCUCCUAGAUGAACAGAAGAUCCAAAAGGCCAAGACAAC